AGCGGAGCAUGUGGUUUAAUUCGAAGCAACGCGAAGAACCUUACCUAGACUUGACACCUCCUGAAUUACCCGUAACUGGGGAAGCUCUUCGGAGCAGGAAGACAGGUGGUGCAUGGUUGUCGUCAGCUCGUGUCGUGAGAUGUUGGGUUAAGUCCCGCAACGAGCGCAACCCUUAUCGUUAGUUGCUACCAUUAAGUUGAGCACUCUAGCGAGACUGCCCGGGUUAACCGGGAGGAAGGUGGGGAUGACGUCAAAUCAUCAUGCCCCUUAUGUCUAGGGCUACACACGUGCUACAAUGGUGAGGACAAAGAGACGCAAGACCGCGAGGUGGAGCAAAUCUCACAAACCUCAUCCCAGUUCGGAUUGCAGGCUGAAACUCGCCUGCAUGAAGCCGGAGUUGCUAGUAAUCGCGAAUCAGCAUGUCGCGGUGAAUACGUUCCCGGGCCUU
rnacentral:rRNA from 1 species